rnacentral:rRNA from 1 species
GACGAACGCUGGCGGUGUGUUUAACACAUGCAAGUCGAACGGUAAGGCCCUUUCGGGGGUACACGAGUGGCGAACGGGUGAGUAACACGUGAGUAACCUGCCCUCAUCUCUGGGAUAACAGUCGGAAACGGUUGCUAAUACUGGAUAUGAGCUUGCAAGGCAUCUUGUGGGUUGGAAAGAUUUUUUUGGUUGGGGAUGGACUCGCGGCCUAUCAGCUUGUUGGUGAGGUAGUGGCUCACCAAGGCUUCGACGGGUAGCCGGCCUGAGAGGGCGACCGGCCACAUUGGGACUGAGAUACGGCCCAAACUCCUACGGGAGGCAGCAGUGGGGAAUAUUGCACAAUGGACGGAAGUCUGAUGCAGCAACGCCGCGUGCGGGAUGACGGCCUUCGGGUUGUAAACCGCUUUCAAUUGUGACGAAGCUUUUUGUGACGGUAGCAGUAGAAGAAGCACCGGCUAACUACGUG